AGAGGUAUUGCUGGGUCAUAUGGUAACCACAUUUGAAAAAUCUGCCAAAGUGUUUUCCAAAAUUACUGCACUAUUAUGCAUUCCUACCAGCAAU
rnacentral:pre_miRNA from 1 species